rnacentral:rRNA from 1 species
AGUAACACGUAUCCAACCUGCCGUCUACUCUUGGCCAGCCUUCUGAAAGGAAGAUUAAUCCAGGAUGGCAUCAUGAGUUCACAUGUCCGCAUGAUUAAAGGUAUUUUCCGGUAGACGAUGGGGAUGCGUUCCAUUAGAUAGUAGGCGAGGUAACGGCCCACCAAGGCGACGAUCAGUAGCCGGCCUGAGAGGGUGACCGGCCACAUUGGGACUGAGACACGGCCCAA